rnacentral:rRNA from 1 species
UUCUUUAAGAACUUUAAUUUAAAGUAAAACCUGCUCAAUGAAUAUAAAUAGCCGCAGUCAUCCUGUGCUAAGGUAGCAUAAUCACUUGCUUUCUAAAUAAAAGAUAGAAUGAAAGGUUAAACGAUAAACUACUUCAUUUCAAUACCUUAACUAAAUUAAUAUUCAAGUAAAAAAGCAUGAAAAAAAUAACAAGACGACAAGACCCUACUAAACUUAUCAUUCAGUUGGGGCAACAAAAUAAUAAAACUUUAUAUACAAUUACAAAACAAUUCAUAAAAAUUAUAUAAAUGACCAGUUACUAUAGGGAUAACAGCGCAAUUUCUUUCAAGAGAUCUCAUCUAAAAAGAAGAUUACGACCUCGAUGUUGAAUUAAUUUAACUAAUAUUUUGAAGCAAAAUCCUAUAAAAGUUAGUCUGUUCGACUAUUAAAAAAUU